rnacentral:rRNA from 1 species
GCUUGUCUCAAAGAUUAAGCCAUGCAUGUCUAAGUGUAAAUAAGUCUAUACUGUGAAACUGCGAAUGGCUCAUUAAAUCAGUUAUCGUUUAUUUGAUGAUCUCUUACUACUUGGAUAACCGUAGUAAUUCUAGAGCUAAUACAUGCUAAAAAUCCCGACUUCGGAAGGGAUGUAUUUAUUAGAUUAAAAACCAAUGCCCUCUGGGCUCUCUGGUGAUUCAUGAUAACUUCUCGAAUCGCAUGGCCUUGCGCCGGCGAUGGUUCAUUCAAAUUUCUUCCCUAUCAACUUUCGAUGUUUGGGUAGUGGCCAAACAUGGUUGCAACGGGUAACGGAGGGUUAGGGCUCGACCCCGGAGAAGGAGCCUGAGAAACGGCUACUACAUCCAAGGAAGGCAGCAGG